GCGACGCCGCGUGGAGGAAGAAGUCCUUCCGGGCGUAAACUCCUGGACUGGGGGACGAGGAAGGACGGUGCCCCAGUAGAAAGGGACGGGUAACUACGUGCCACCACCCCCGGU
rnacentral:rRNA from 1 species